UACGGAGGGAGCUAGCGUUGUUCGGAAAUACUGGGCGUAAAGCGCACGUAGGCGGCGCAGCAAGUCAGGGGUGAAAUCCCGGGGCUCAACCCCGGAACUGCCCUUGAAACUGCAGUGCUAGAAUUCUGGAGAGGCGAGUGGAAUUCCGAGUGUAGAGGUGAAAUUCGUAGAUAUUCGGAAGAACACCAGUGGCGAAGGCGACUCGCUGGGACGUUACUGACGCUGAGACGCGAAAGCGUGGGGAGCAAACAGG
rnacentral:rRNA from 1 species